AAACAAACUCCUUUCAGACUGGGAAGGCACAUGAAAUGCAAUUCUCUCCAGAACUUCUGAAGAGUGUUCAUCGGGAUUCAUGGCCCGUAUUUUUUCCAGUGAAACACUGGAAACCUGCAAAGUAAUGGGCACUGUGUUGCCAACGCAUCUGCCCUGGGUGAGGGAUCAUGGCCGGCCCCAGGACAGCACCUGGGCCCACGUGACCAAACCCUGGCUCCUGCGGGAAAGAUGAGCUUCCUGAAGACAUUCCUGAGGAGGAAAUCACUAGAAAUGGCCUAACGACGGAGACACCAUGCUGGCAUUCCAACACUGUCACUCCUGCCUGAUCGCUGGUGAGUCUGUCCCACCAGGGGGAGAUGGUUCAAGAGGAGACUUCUGAUCCCCGCCUCACACCUGCUGAGUCCAGAUCUCUGGAGGUGGGACCCGGGAAGCUGGGGGCGUCACAUCCCUCCACGCCACCCUUCUGGCACUAACAUUUGAGAACGGUGUCUUAGAAGGCAGAAUCAAGAGCUCACCAGAAGUUCUCCAGCCCCUAAAGUAAAAAGUCAACUAUGAACAUGCCAGCAAGGGCUGUGCUUUCGCUGGGCACUGUGAAGAUGAACGGACGGGGUCCACAGCUAGUAGGAAGGCCACUGUCCUGGUGGGCAAAGCAGGCACCCAAUGACUUCCUGCUGAUGACAGGCACCCUGGCAAGGAAGGGGUAUACAGCCGGGGAUGUGUCCGAUGUACAAAACUCACCGGCUUUCGCAAGGCUCCUGUCCCCAGCCAAUAGGAGCCCUGCCCCCAUUUCCUCCCUACAGAGAGAACUCUGCUCUGCGGAGGUCUGCGGGACCACAGCAGCACGUGGAUGGCCAAGACUGCCUUGCUUCGAACACAAGGAACCAUCUCCAUGACUUUCCAGUUACCAUCAGGUGGUAACUUUAGCAGUUACCAGUUAGCCAGACUUUGCAGUUACCAUCGGGUGGACCCAGAUGGUCUGUGCCACUCAGCAACAUUGACUCUUCCUCCUCGUGGGAGCCUGAAGGAAGGCCCAAGACAGAAAGAAGCACCAGUGAGGACAAGGACAGCAGGAAGGAGCUGGGAUGAUUCCAGCUUCCGACGCGAUGGCUGGAGGCGACGGGGCCGCUAUGAUGCUCACUCUCCCGCAUGGCGGGUCCUGAUCUUGGCCAACGCCCGUAUUUCUAGCGCACCCGAAGAACAAAGAUUCACCUGCCUGCAGGCACUGGGCACAUCGGGGUGGGGUGGUAAGUCCACCGGCGGCGCUCCGUCACCCACACGCGGCCCCCAGCCCUCCCAGAGGGUGCUCCGGAGCUGGCCCGCUGGAGAGCUGGUUUCAAAGCUUGGGCAGCCCCUGUGUUAGCAGCCUUCCUCCAGCAUGGUGGGUAAGGAAAUGAGAGAGGGAAUGUUUAAUGAUUAGUUCCUUAUGGCCCUCACAUUCUUGAAGUGGAUUCUUUACGCCCGCUGGAACGCUUCUACAUUCUUGAUAGCGGGACCGUAAUAUAAGUCCCUUCCUUUCGCAGCGCUGUCUUUUAUUGACACACUAAAAUACCCUCGGAGCAAGAGAUGCCCCCCCUCCCCUCACGCCCCUCCAUCGCCAUGGCCAAGCUCCCAACGCCCGCCAUUCCUUGUUCUCUUUCUAAGAAUGCAAUAAACAUUUCAGCACGG